rnacentral:rRNA from 1 species
CCCGGCGGCACUAGCGCGGUGGUCCCACCUGACCCCAUGCCGAACUCAGAAGUGAAACGCCGUAGCGCCGAUGGUAGUGUGGGGUCUCCCCAUGUGAGAGUAGGGAACUGCCAGGG